AGAGAGGCGCAUGCAGAGCAGAGCUGCAGUUACAGUGACCACUGGGAUCCACGGGUAUAGCUGCGGGCAAACACAGUGAGGCGCAGUGGCGCUUGGGGAGCCACCUGGAGGGAAGGCAAGAGAAGUAAAUUAAGAUUAACAUGAAUGGACUAUGCAUGUACAGCAUAUGCAUGCAUGUAAAUAUAUAGUCUGUGUUACUUGUUUCCCUAUUAUGGUAACAGAGUUGUAUUGUAUAACAAAAUUAGCAGGAAUAAAAGACGUAAUACCAGCUAUGGGCUGGUGCCCCCUACUGGCUGGUUCCCUGCCUGAUGCCUGUAGCCUAUAGAGGCAUAUAACUUUUUUUUCAGGCAUACAUGUUUUUCUUUCUGGAAGUAAAAGAAAUAUUGU